GGCUCCUUGAUAUUCUGUGAUAGGGAGUCGGACCUGCUCGGUGAAUAUAUUUUAACAGCCGCGGUACUCUGACCGUGCAAAGGUAGCAUAAUCAUUUGCCUUAUAAUUGAAGGCUAGUAUGAAUGGUUUGACGAGAAUUAAGCUGUCUCUUUACAAUUAAAUAUAAUUUUAUUUACAGGUGAAGAAGCCUGUGUUUUAUUGAAAGACAAGAAGACCCUAUCGAGCUUUAAAAAAUUUAAUAGACUUAUCUUAUAUUAAUAAAAAUAUAAGGCUAUUAAAAAUUUUGGUUGGGGCGACUGAGGAACAAAUAAAGCUUCCUUUAUAGUUAAAAACUUACAAGUAUUGAUCCAAUAAAUUUGAUUGAAGGAAUUAGUUACCGUAGGGAUAACAGCAUAAUCUUCUUUGAGAGCUCUCAUCGAAAAGGAGGUUUGUGACCUCGAUGUUGGACCAGAAUACCCAGAAGAUGCAGCUGUCUUCAAAGGUUGGUCUGUUCGACCAUUAAAAUUCUACGUGAUCUGAGUUCAGACCGGCGUGAGCCAGGUCAGUUUCUAUCUUCAAUUUUUAUGAUAACCUUAGUACGAAAGGACCAGGCUAUUGCAAAAUAAGUUGUUGUGUUUGAUUUAGUAUAAUAAACAAUUCAUUGUGUAAUUAUUAUCAAAUUAGCAUAGGCAUGCAAUUGACUUAGGAUCAAUAGACAUAGGUGAAACCCCUUUAUUUGAUACAUAAAGAUGGCAGAAAAA
rnacentral:rRNA from 1 species